UAAGAGUUGUUGUUGAGCUCUACUUUAUCUCUUAACAAUGGUCUUUUAAUCGAGAAAACAACAGGAUAAUUCCAAUGACCUUAUCUUUCCUGAAUCCUCUUUGGUGUUAUGAAACCUGAGGAUCUGCUUGAAGAGCAUCUGUGUGCUAAGCCAUUGAAAUCUUCUAAAACUAAAUAAGCACGCUGAAAUAGUAAGCACCUAUGUUCCGACGAACACCAAAUGAAUCUAUCGUUCCACAAUAAGCACUUCAGUCGACAAUAAUUUCCUUCUUAUUGUCUUCAAGAAGAUAGAGUUGCUAAAACUUUCAUUGAAAUAAUUCAUAGACUCGUAAUUUACCAACUGAUUCUCAGUCCUUAUUACUAUUACAAUAUUUGAUUUUCAAGUCCACCAAAGGAUUCAGACAGGGUGAUUCAUUAUCUCCUACUGUUUUCAUCCUGCAGCUGAAACUCUCACUAGAGCCUUGAACCACCUUCAUCAAAACGAGAACUUCAUUGGUUUCUCAAUGCAGAAAAAUGCCCUCAAAUUAAUCAUUUGGGUUAUGUUGAUGGUUUAGUUUUAUCCACCUCUGGAGACAAAAUAUCAGUAAAGCUUAUCAUGCAGUGAAUUAAUAGGUAUUGAAAAGCUUAGGGAAUAGGAGAUCAACCAGGGAAAAAGCUUUUCUUUCUUAUCAUACACAAAAUCAUAAUAGAAGAAUUAGAAGGUUCAGACGCUCAGUUCCCAGAUCGCGCAUAGACUCUCCAGAUUAUCAGACGUAGUAGUGGUGAGUCCUCAUAUUUUGAGGACAUGGUUUAUUUAUCUCAGUUAUUUCAUCAGUUUCAGUAUUUUUUCAUUCAGUCAGAGUUAGUUGGGGAUUUGUUUCAUCAACUCCAGAGUUAGUCAAUAGAGGUUUUUCAGACUAAUACAGACAGUCAAUUAGUUUUGUUAUUAUUUUAUUAGUUUCAGACAGUUGUUUCCA